rnacentral:lncRNA from 1 species
UUUCAUCCUAGAAUCUUAAUAUUAAUCAUAUCUUCAUCAUUGUAGCAUCUCAUGAUCAUGCAUGGCCGCCAUUUACUCCAUUAAUCAAGCUUUUGCCAAAUUGGUCAUUAUAGCUUGAACUUGCCUUUCUUACCUUGAAGGUGACUUGCAAUCUUGCCCACCAUGCGUACAUCAAAACCAUGCCAAGUGAAACCUACAAAACAAUGCCAUGACACAUCAAGAAUAUCAAACCAAUGCAUUACCAAACAAAAAGUACAAUUCAUUCAACAAGCAUCAUAUUCAUUACAUGGCAACAUCACUAAUCAACUUAGCAAUAAUUCAAACCCACACCAAGCUAAGUUCAUUACAAAAUCUAAAAUUCAAGCAUAUAUGUAGCAUUGCAUUCAAUUCAUACACAUUCUAACAGCCAUGGUCAGGUUCCAAUCAUUUCAUAAAUCAAAGCAUUUUAAGCAUAGAAAAUGGAGGCAAACUAAUUCGCAUAGUACAUUCAUUACAAUACAUUAGAAGCAACAUGCCACAUCAAUAACAAAACAAGCAUAGAGCCAAUAGUUCAAGCAAAUGUAUAGCAGGUCCAUGUACAUUCAAUAAAGAACCCCACAUGUAACAAAUUCUGCAAUACAAACACCAACAUCAUGUUGCAGCAAACACAUCCAAAUGGCAUUCCACAACAUCAAGCCAAUGCAAGCAGACCUACAACUACUUCCUGUAUCAGCCAAAGCUACUCGACACCACUGCAACAGAGCCAUCAUCCUCAUCAACAUGUAGCCUGCAGUUCAGACAACCAUAACCAAAGGUCCAAAAAUCUGUGGCAGUUGAGGCUGGCAUAGUAAAACCAGUAGUUCAUGAAGUGCACACACAACACAUGCUCAAGCAACCCAUGACAUACAUGGAAAUGAUAAAAAUUCCAAACAAAGCCACAACAGGCCUGCUAUCUAUUAACCACCUGCAUAUUCACUAACAUCAGACCCGUAUUAACAUCCUAAUAUCAUUCACUUGAUUGACCAAAAUCGAGACCUCAUUCACUAACCUACAUUUUUAUCAUAGCCUAAUUAUCAUAACCUAACUAACAAAACAGAGUUUCUAAUCAACAGAACAUUUUUAUCAUAGCCUAACAUUUACAUCAAUUAACUCAAUCUAACAAAAUCAGAACAUAAAACUACUUGCAUCGAAUUCACAAAAUCAGUUACAAUUUCACCAAUCCCAAAGUGCCCUAAACUGACAACUAACUAACCUCACCCUUUAACAACUAACUAUAGUUGAAUUUCUAAACAACUUCCUCUUUCAAUUCACUUACAAAUUAACCCUGCCCAAAAUUCCUAACAACCAUUGCCCGAACUCUACCCCAUUCAGUUAUCAUCAGACCUCUAUAAAUCACAUUCAUUCACCUUCAUUUCAAAAACAACAAUCAUUUGCACAAAAAAUCACAUUGAAUCAACUUCAUCUCUCUCACUGCACUCUCUGAAUUUUCAACCUCUCUCUCUCACCCUCACUAUACGCUUAUCACCAUAGCUGUAGAGCUUCAACAUUAGAAGCUCUAACAGUUGAGCUCAAAUCCUUACUCUCUUCAUAUCACACGACUCACUCACUCAUCGAAGCAACAAGAAGCAACACAGAUCAAGCAACAAGCACCAAUUAUACUAAAGAGGAGGUAGAAGAAGAAGCUAUAAUCCAAACAAGAGUGGAAGAAGAAGGUUACCGGAUAUCCGGUGUCAUCUCCGUUUUCUCCACUGGUGAGUUUUCACUCUUCUUAGCCAAUCGCUUUGUUCUUGUUUCCUUUGUGUAAAGCAUAGCCUGGGGAUCAUCAGCCCCAGACUUUGAUUGUGGAUAUGUGAACAACCACCAUUUAAUUUAUCUUGGAGCCAUUAGGAUUCUUGGAGAUUUCUCUUUGAUUCAGAGCAUUGAUCAUGAAUUUUGUAAAACUGAUAGUGGGACCAUGUUUAUCUCAUUGCCAUGGUUCAGAUGGUGGUGGUAACUUGGUGAUUGGGUGGCCACUGCCACCGGAGGCGACCUCCGGCAUAGUGGUGGAUGGUGGUGGUUCUUUUCC